CCUCCUUACCUAUACGACUAACUCAAUACCUAAAGUGCAGAGAUGCAUGUGAGUGUUCACACAGAUUACUUGUUAACUUCUUCGGAAGUAAAGUGAAACACACCGCUUGCCGGUUAAGUGUUGUUCUUUAACAAUUUGGAAAGCUGAUAGUACUAACUAAAGGCGCAUGAAUGACGAUUCGUUGUUAUUGAUGUGAUGAUGUUAGUGCGAAAAACGUUAAUGCGAAAGCAUUAACACUUGAGUUCUCAAAACACUGUUUAAGUGUCUUGAAUAUUCUAAAAAACUAAAGGCGAGUCCACUUCCUGGUCGGGAAGGUGAGAACAAGUUAAAAAACCUAGCUGGGUCAUGAUUAUGGCCCCAAAAUGUUCACCGCCAAAGUNUAAACUUCAUUUUGGGUUUGUAUUGGUUUUAAAUUGGAACCAAAGCCGUUUUACCGUUGGGAUUGCCCUUUGGGCAAAAGGGGCCUAAAUUCCAGGCCACAUCUUGGU
rnacentral:misc_RNA from 1 species